rnacentral:rRNA from 1 species
UACGAAGGGUGCAAACGUUGCUCGGAAUUAUUGGGCGUAAAGAGCUCGUAGGCGGCCUGUUACGUCUGCUGUGAAAUCCCGGGGCUUAACCCCGGGCGUGCAGUGGAUACGGGCAGGCUGGAGGCAGGCAGGGGAGAACGGAAUUCCCGGUGUAGCGGUGAAAUGCGCAGAUAUCGGGAGGAACACCGGUGGCGAAGGCGGUUCUCUGGGCCUGUACUGACGCUGAGGAGCGAAAGCGUGGGGAGCGAACAGG